rnacentral:lncRNA from 1 species
AGCAAUCUACACACAUACACUCACACACCCCGUCCCUUUCCCUCCUCGCAGAAGCCGAGGAGAUGCCAUGUGAGGGUGCAGCGAGGAGUUGGGCUGUCUAAAAGCAAAGAAAGAGAUUGCAUCAGACACCGCAUCUGCUGACACCUUGUUCUUGGACUUCCAGCUUCCAAAACCGCGAGAAAUAAAUGUCUGUGUCUAAACCCCAACCCUACCACCUCAACUGCCGUGUGUGGUGUUUUGUGAUGGCAGCCCCAGCUGACUGAGACACCUGGUUAGACCGGAAUAAGCAGGCUGCAAUCGGUAGCAGUCACCAUUGAACAUCCUUGAAGCAAUUCUUCCAAAAUUACCUUGCAUCAAAGACUGCACAAGAACUGCUCUAAGCGGAAGGACUGAUGUCGGCAACCAGGGUUCCACCAGGGGCUGCAGACAGCCCUUGACCUUCAGGUGGGAAGGUGUCACUGAGUUCAGACCCUCUGGCAAUCCCUAGCUAUCAACAUUUUGAUAAGAAAAUAAGUGGAAAGGUAGAACUGGAAGAUUUUGCUGAAAGAUUGGACAUGGCAUUCAGAGAAACAGAGGUUUUAAUGACAAACUCCAAGUUUUUGGCUGGAGCAACUGGAAGAAUGAGGUUGCCAUGAACCGAAAAGAGAGAUUGCAGAAGUAACCAAAUUUACUCACGUAGGC